GAGCUUGGCGGUGUUUUAGACCUCUCAGGGGAACCUGUCUCAUAAUCGAUAAUCCACGUUAAACCUGACCUUUGAUAGCAAUUCAGCUUGUAUACCGUUGUCGUCAGGUAACUUCUUAAAAUAUAGUAGUUAGCUUGAGAAUUUUAUUAAUUAAAACGUCAAAUCAAGGUGCAGCUAAUAAAAAGGUGAAGAUGGGUUACAAUUACAUAUUUGUAAAUACGGAAAACAUUUGAAAGAAUGUUUUAAAGGAGGACUUGAAAGUAAUUUUGAUUAUAUAAACAAAAUGAAUGAGGCUCUGAAGCGUGCACACAUCGCCCGUCGCUCUCGUUGAAAAAUGAGAUAAGUCGUAACAUAGUAGGGGUAAUGGAAAUUGUUCCUAGAU
rnacentral:rRNA from 1 species